GGGGUAACUAGUGACAGAGGGAGGGGUGACUAGGGACAGAGUGAGGGAGAUGGUGACUAGUGACUAGUGACAGUCACCACCUCUGUCACUAGUCACCACCUCCCUCCCUCUGUCACUGGUCACCCCUUCCUUCCCUCACUCUGCCACUAGUCACCCCUUCCCUCACUCUGUCACUAGUCACCCCCUCACUCAAGUGACAGAGUGAG